GGCUCCGUAGCUCAGGGGUUAGGGCGCUGGUCUUGGAAACCAGGGAUCACGAGUUCGAAUGUCGCCGGGGCCC